rnacentral:rRNA from 1 species
GCGUGCGGGGGCCUAACCAUGCAAGUCCAGCGGUAGAGAGAAGCUUGCUUCUCUUGAGAGCGGCGGACGGGUGAGUAAUGCCUAGGAAUCUGCCUGGUAGUGGGGGAUAACGCUCGGAAACGGACGCUAAUACCGCAUACGUCCUACGGGAGAAAGCAGGGGACCUUCGGGCCUUGCGCUAUCAGAUGAGCCUAGGUCGGAUUAGCUAGUUGGUGAGGUAAUGGCCCACCAAGGCGACGAUCCGUAACUGGUCUGAGAGGAUGAUCAGUCACACUGGAACUGAGACACGGUCCAGACUCCUACGGGAGGCAGCAGUGGGGAAUAUUGGACAAUGGGCGAAAGCCUGAUCCAGCCAUGCCGCGUGUGUGAAGAAGGUCUUCGGAUUGUAAAGCACUUUAAGUUGGGAGGAAGGGCAUUAACCUAAUACGUUAGUGUUUUGACGUUACCGACAGAAUAAGCACCGGCUAACUCUGUGCCAGCAGCCGCGGUAAU